rnacentral:lncRNA from 1 species
AGGAAUGUAAACCUUAACCUUUUAUUUCACUUCUGCACUUAAGUUGUUAUAUAUUUUCUUUUAGAUUUUUGGGGUCGUUACAUCUUUCUAUAACCCCCUUCAAAUGAGGACGAUAGUAAAGAAUCGCUAGUCGACUUGCCCAUUAAAGUCUUCGAGGAUCCCGUGAAUCCAUGAACCAUUACGAGUGCAUGUUUGUUCCAUGCUUUGAUGAGUCCACUUUUAGAG